ACAAAGGUCCUUUUCAGGACCACCCACCGCUUCAACUAAGAGCGUG
rfam:Larimichthys crocea isolate SSNF unplaced genomic scaffold scaffold469, whole genome shotgun sequence.